UAGAGACGUUUUGUAGUAUAUUUUAAAAAUACAUUCCAAAAGUGAUUAGGUUUGAUUAGAUUACUAAUUGAUUGGAAAGUAAAACACACAUAAUUGAAAAUUGUCAUUAAGAAUCAAUAAUUUACGAUACCUGAAGUGUGGAUCUCCACAGCCUGGAACUAUAUAAUGUGGACAAUGCAGACCUAAAUUCAUCUGUUUGAUUAAUUAUCAAUCAUCGCCUAUAUCAAAUCACAAUCAAUCAAGUUGAAUCAAAAUAGAAUCAAAUCAAAAAAUGUAAUAAGAUGUAUAUGGAUAAAGGAACUAUAAUAUAUAUGACUGUCCGAAUCAACCGUGUUGUCCAUUUCCUUCAGUUACGUUGAAGGAUUCCUUAAAAUCUUCCGCAAUUUCGGUUGCCAAAGGUCGACCAGGAACAGUUUCUGUUGAAACAACUUUCUCUGCAAGAAAUUUGCGCGGUGGAGUUGUAAAAGUACUGGUUUGGGGAGUUGUAAGUGUUGAAGCUGUUUUCAUAUUUGGAUCCACCAGUUUUGGUGCUAGGGAAAAAA